GAUGAACGCUAGCUACAGGCUUAACACAUGCAAGUCGAGGGGCAGCGAGAAGAAAGCUUGCUUUCUUUGUCGGCGACCGGCGCACGGGUGAGUAACGCGUAUCCAACCUUCCCCUUAGUAGAGGACAGCCCGGCGAAAGUCGGAUUAAUACUGCAUGAGACCACAGGGCCACAUGGUCCAGGGGUCAAAGGAGCAAUCCGGUGAAGGGUGGGCUCGCGUCCGAUUAGAUAGUUGGUGAGGUAACGGCCCACCAAGUCGACGAUCGGUAGCCGACCUGAGAGGGUGAUCGGCCACAUUGGGACUGAGACACGGCCCAAACUCC
rnacentral:rRNA from 1 species